UGCGUAGGCGGUUUGUUAAGUCUGUUGUGAAAUCCCCGGGCUCAACCUGGGAAUGGCAAUGGAUACUGGCAAGCUAGAGUGUGUCAGAGGAUGGUGGAAUUUCCGGUGUAGCGGUGAAAUGCGUAGAGAUCGGAAGGAACAUCAGUGGCGAAGGCGGGCCAUCUGGGACGAACACUGACGCUGAAGCACGAAAGCGUGGGGAGCAAACA
rnacentral:rRNA from 1 species